rnacentral:tRNA from 3 species
UACCGGGUCGUCUAAUGGUAGGACAACAGACUUUGGAUCUGUUUACUCCAGGUUCGACUCCUGGCCCGGUAGCCC